rnacentral:lncRNA from 1 species
AAUAAGUAUGUAAUAGUUUAUUAUUAUGGCUAAUCACAACAUCCACAUAUUGACACAACUGUUGUUCCCCAUGUAGCCACAAGAUCAUCUACAUGUAACUUCAACUUCCACAGUCUCUCAAAGAAGAAUGAAUUCAAAUGGAACCCCUUUAUUCCACAUUUUGCUCCAGCACCAGAAUGAUUCUUUUUUUGAAUUUACCAACGUUUGUUAAAAUUCACCAUGCUUUAUCCAUCCCUUCUAUUUCUUCAUAAAAUAUUUUUUUAUCAAUCACAUGAGUCGUGAUAUUUAUAUGACGAUGUUAUUAUAUGAGUGUAUGGUUCCACUUCCC